rnacentral:rRNA from 1 species
UACAGAGGUCCCAAGCGUUGUUCGGAUUCACUGGGCGUAAAGGGUGCGUAGGCGGUCGGGUAAGUCUGAUGUGAAAUCUCACAGCUUAACUGCGAAACUGCAUUGGAUACUAUUCGGCUUGAGAGUUGGAGGGGGGACUGGAAUUCUUGGUGUAGCAGUGAAAUGCGUAGAUAUCAAGAGGAACACCAGUGGCGAAGGCGAGUCCCUGGACAACUUCUGACGUGAGGCACGAAAGCUAGGGGAGCAAACAGG